GGGACACAUGGGCUUAGUGGGACAUGUGGCGUGCUCACAAGUGGGACGUCCACUUCCAUGGUAUUUGGGACAUGCACAACGUGAAAUGGAGAAGGGCCAAAGUGCAGCGCACUAUGAGAUCCCAAAGUGGCCAAGUGAGUGGGGCGCAUAUGGGGCUUUGCCAAGUGGGCUUUGCAUGGCACUUGCUAAGUGUCUUGUGAAUGGCACGGCAGGUGGGUUUGAGGGCCAGCAUGCAUGGCUAAUUUCAGCCCAUGCAACGUGAAGAUAUGGGAGGGAAACGUCCCGCCCAAUUAGCUCACAACUUGGUGGGACCCGAAGCAUGAAGGCGCCCAAUCACUUGGCCAAUAUUGUCUCCCGCCCAUGCAAAUGCAAGGUGUCCAAAGGCAGCCGGUCCCCAUGUCCUUCCCAUAAUUAUUUUACUUGUAGUGUAAAAAUGGCCACACAAUAUCCAUCAUUGAGGGCAGCCGGCCAAGAGCUUGUACAUAAGGGAUUUGUUUCCCUUUGUUGACGUAAAUAGAGAUAGAGAAUUUGUGAGUG
rnacentral:misc_RNA from 1 species